UACGCUGGCGGCGUGCAUAACACAUGCAAGUCGAACGAUGAAACUUAAAUGAUUUCUUCGGAAUGAACUUAAGUGGAUUAGUGGCGGACGGGUGAGUAACGCGUGAGUAACCUGCCUUACACAAGGGGAUAGCCGUUGGAAACGACGAAUAAUACCCUAUGAAACUAUCACUUCGCAUGAAGCGAUAGUCAAAGUGUUAGCGGUGUAAGAUGGACUUGCGUCUGAUUAGCUAGUUGGUGAGAAAAAAGCCCACCAAGGCAACGAUCAGUAGCCGGCUUGAGAGAGUGUACGGCCACAUUGGGACUGAGACACGGCCCAGACUCCUACGGGAGGCAGCAGUGGGGAAUUUUGCACAAUGGGGGAAACCCUGAUGCAGCGACGCCGCGUGAUUUAGAAGGCCUUCGGGUUGUAAAAAUCUUUUGUAUAGGAAGAAAAUGACAGUACUAUACGAAUAAGGUCCGGCUAAUUACGUGCCAGCAGCCGCGGUAAUACGUAAGGACCGAGCGUUGUCCGGAAUCA
rnacentral:rRNA from 2 species